rnacentral:sRNA from 1 species
ACACUCAGUUGAAGAGGAAAACCAUCCCAAUGAAGGAGGACUGGCCUUCAGUCAAGGGUAUACAAGUAGCUGUGGUCCCCUGCUAGAACAAGCUCUCAAAAGAGCACUGCAGAGGUGGACAGAGC